ACGAGGAAUCCGGUGCGAACCCGGAGCGGUCCCGCCACUGUGACCCCGCACGGGGAAGCCAGACACUC
rnacentral:ncRNA from 2 species